AACUAGUAGGCUAUGUAAGGGUUUCCUCUCAUAGCCGUUCCCCAUCUCAAUAAUCUGUUUCCUUUUAGCAGCCACCAGGCCUGCCCCAACACUCGUUCUCUCAGCGUCCCGCUUUCUUACAACGUACGACGGUACUCACGAUGUACAGAGGCGCAUAAAUUUUCAGGGACUCUUGGAAAGCUCCGACAGUGACUUGGAAGGCGGACGUAGUACAGGAAGUGCUCCAUGUGUGGCCGAUCUCAUAGCAGCCGUGCGGGAUACUCUUACUGAAGGCAGCCAUAAUGAUGAUGGGAGCGCCAGCGCCACGGCGAUCGGGGCAAAGGUCAACGCCGCUGGCGGAGGUUACUCCCGGUCAAAGGCAGGAGAAGCACGCAAACUGGGACCUGCAAGCCGUCUGAGAGGAGCGUCAGGGAUGACUGCUCAGUAACUGGAGGCAUUCGUGGCGAAUGGUUAUUUUUCAGACUGGGGCAAACGUACAGUGAGAAUUCCUCAGGCAUCCUGACAGAACCGCUGGCUUGCUUGAUUUUAUCGCAGACCCAAAUUCAACAAUUGAAGAUGUUGUGAACUGUGAGAAAGAUGGUAUUAAACCUCCAAAGGAAUUUGACUGAUGAAAUGGGUAAUCACUCGACAGUGAGAAAGAUAGUGUUAAAUCUCAAGAGGACUUUGGCUGAUGAAAUGGGUGAUCGUCAGAACGCUGGAAUUCUAAUGCAGAAAAGUGUCGAUUGAUUCGUUUUUGGAGAGGCAAAAUAAAAUAGAAUAUAUAAUUCAAAAAUGGGGUGCAGAAGCUGAAGGACCCGGCGACUACACGCGCACAAUUUGUUCAAAGUAGCACUAAUCCGAUGUGAACUAAGACUCGGCAGAAACUGUCUGGCAAAGCUUUCGUCUUCUGGCAAGUACACCCAAAAGUUCACUGUAACUUUUCUGUAUGUUUAUUAAACUGGUAGUUUAUUGUAAUAUCUUAAAUUUUGGAGAUCAGAUAGUAUUUCAGAACAAUUUAAUUUGCAUCUGUUUAGCAGGUUGUUAAGAAUGUGUAAAAGGUUUUCAGAAUUUGACCCUCCCCUCCACCCCCACCGAUGAGGGCAGACGAAUAAACGACUAGUUAAUGUGCAGA